rnacentral:tRNA from 1 species
CACCUAGAAGCUAAACCGGGUUAAGCAGCAGCCUUUUAAGCUGCAGAAUGAUGGCCCCCAACCAUCCUAAGUGAA